rnacentral:rRNA from 1 species
AUUGAACGCUGGCGGCAGGCCUAACACAUGCAAGUCGAACGGUAACAGGAAGCAGCUUGCUGCUUCGCUGACGAGUGGCGGACGGGUGAGUAAUGUCUGGGAAACUGCCUGAUGGAGGGGGAUAACUACUGGAAACGGUAGCUAAUACCGCAUAACGUCGCAAGACCAAAGAGGGGGACCUUAGGGCCUCUUGCCAUCGGAUGUGCCCAGAUGGGAUUAGCUAGUAGGUGGGGUAACGGCUCACCUAGGCGACGAUCCCUAGCUGGUCUGAGAGGAUGACCAGCCACACUGGAACUGAGACACGGUCCAGACUCCUACGGGAGGCAGCAGUGGGGAAUAUUGCACAAUGGGCGCAAGCCUGAUGCAGCCAUGCCGCGUGUAUGAAGAAGGCCUUCGGGUUGUAAAGUACUUUCAGCGGGGAGGAAGGGAGUAAAGUUAAUACCUUUGCUCAUUGACGUUACCCGCAGAAGAAGCACCGGCUAACUCCGUGC